rnacentral:rRNA from 1 species
AUUGAACGCUGGCGGCAGGCCUAACACAUGCAAGUCGAACGGUAGCACAGAGAGCUUGCUCUCGGGUGACGAGUGGCGGACGGGUGAGUAAUGUCUGGGAAACUGCCCGAUGGAGGGGGAUAACUACUGGAAACGGUAGCUAAUACCGCAUAACGUCGCAAGACCAAAGUGGGGGACCUUCGGGCCUCACACCAUCGGAUGUGCCCAGAUGGGAUUAGCUAGUAGGUGGGGUAAUGGCUCACCUAGGCGACGAUCCCUAGCUGGUCUGAGAGGAUGACCAGCCACACUGGAACUGAGACGCUGUCCAGACUCCUACGGGAGGCAGCAGUGGGGAAUAUUGCACAAUGGGCGCAAGCCUGAUGCAGCCAUGCCGCGUGUAUGAAGAAGGCCUUCGGGUUGUAAAGUACUUUCAGCGGGGAGGAAGGCGGUGAAGUUAAUAACUUCACCGAUUGACGUUACCCGCAGAAGAAGCACCGGCUAACUCCGUGCCAGCAGCCGCGGUAA